rnacentral:rRNA from 1 species
CCUUCGGGGUACUCGAGUGGCGAACGGGUGAGUACACGUGGGUGAUCUGCCCUGCACUUUGGGAUAAGCCUGGGAAACUGGGUCUAAUACCGAAUACACCCUGCUGGUCGCAUGGCCUGGUGGGGGAAAGCUUUUGCGGUGUGGGAUGGGCCCGCGGCCUAUCAGCUUGUUGGUGAGGUUACGGCUCACCAAGGCGACGACGGGUAGCCGGCCUGAGAGGGUGACCGGCCACACUGGGACUGAGAUACGGCCCAGACUCCUACGGGAGGCAGCAGUGGGGAAUAUUGCACAAUGGGCGCAAGCCUGAUGCAGCGACGCCGCGUGAGGGAUGACGGCCUUCGGGUUGUAAACCUCUUUCGCCAGGGACGAAGCGCAAGUGACGGUACCUGGAGAAGAAGGACCGGCCAACUACGUGCCA